UACAGAGGGUGCGAGCGUUGUCCGGAAUCACUGGGCGUAAAGGGCGCGUAGGCGGCUUGAUAAGCGUGCGUGAAAGCCCGGGGCUCAACCCCGGGUCGGCCGUGCGAACUGUCGAGCUGGAGCACUGUAGAGGCAGGUGGAAUUCCGGGUGUAGCGGUGGAAUGCGUAGAGAUCCGGAAGAACACCGGUGGCGAAGGCGGCCUGCUGGGCAGUGGCUGACGCUGAGGCGCGACAGCGUGGGGAGCAAACAGG
rnacentral:rRNA from 1 species